rnacentral:tRNA from 1 species
UUUAAUAUGGCAGAAUAGUGCAAUGAAUUUAAGAUUCAUUUAUGAAUAAAAAUAUUCUAUUAGAA